rnacentral:rRNA from 1 species
GACGAACGCUGGCGGCGUGCUUAACACAUGCAAGUCGAACGGACGAGUGAGAUAAGUUUACUUAACUCACAAGUUAGUGGCGGACGGGUGAGUAACACGUGGAUAAUCUACCUGCAACACCGGGAUAACGCUGUGAAAACGGUGCUAAUACCGGAUACGUUCCCUUGUGCGCAUGUAUGAGGGAAGAAAGCUCAGGCGGUUGCAGAUGAGUCCGCGGCUGAUUAGCUAGUUGGUGAGGUAAAGGCUCACCAAGGCGAUGAUCAGUAGCCGGCCUGAGAGGGUGAACGGCCACACUGGGACUGAGACACGGCCCAGACUCCUACGGGAGGCAGCAGUGGGGAAUCUUCCGCAAUGGGCGCAAGCCUGACGGAGCAACGCCGCGUGGGUGAAGAAGGCCUUCGGGUUGUAAAGCCUGUCUUAUGGGAAGAAGUCAGUGACGGUACCAUAGGAGGAAGCCACGGCUAACUACGUGCCAGCAGCCGCGGUAAUAGUACUA